GGAUGGUGACAACAGCAUUUCCUGCAAAUUCUCAACAAUUGGUGUGUCGCCAUUAGUUUGAUUUGAAACUACAACAUCAUCUGGAUUGGGUACUGAAGUCUCAACUUGUUGCAAAGAAUUAUGACUUCCACUUGUGGAUGCAACUCCAUCUUGCAAUCCAGUGGAUACUGUUGGAAUAGAAGAUUCUUCUUGAAGUGCCUAAAUAAGUGAGGAUUUCUAAGAGAUGAGUCCUAACUUUUUCCAGAAGAAAAUUCAAAAUAAAUAUAUAAAAAUUCCCCUUAACUGAUCAGAAAGAGUACAUUGUGCCUAUAAUCUAUUUCAACCCUAUUGCAAACUACAAUUUUUAUUUGCAUCCAGUAUGCAAGAAUUGCCUAACUCAUUAAUGAAUAAUGAGAUGCACAUAUAAAUUUGGAAUAAAAUUCAAAUGAAGAUACAUGCUACUGUAACUGUAAUGUGCAGAUACUAUUAUAACUGUAAUGCAUGGAUACCAACAAGACUACAAUAAAAAAAGUAGCAGACAAAUAAUAAACCUGAUUCAACGGCACUGGAACAU
rnacentral:misc_RNA from 1 species